rnacentral:rRNA from 1 species
UACGUAGGGUGCGAGCGUUAAUCGGAAUUACUGGGCGUAAAGCGUGCGCAGGCGGUUCGCCAAGUCAGGUGUGAAAUCCCCGGGCUUAACCUGGGAAUUGCGCUUGAAACUAGCGGGCUUGAGUGUGGCAGAGGGGGGUGGAAUUCCACGUGUAGCAGUGAAAUGCGUAGAUAUGCGGAGGAACACCGAUGGCGAAGGCAAUCCCCUGGGCCUGCACUGACGCUCAUGCACGAAAGCGUGGGGAGCAAACAGG